rnacentral:snRNA from 1 species
CGGAUGCGAUCAUACCAGCACU